GGCUGUCCSAGUUGUAAUCUAGAGAAGUAUUAUCCGCGCUGGACCGUGUACAAGUCUCCUGGAAUGGAGCGUCAUAGAGGGUGAGAAUCCCGUCUUUGACACGGACUGCCAGGGCUUUGUGAUGUGCUCUCGAAGAGUCGAGUUGUUUGGGAAUGCAGCUCAAAAUGGGUGGUAAAUUCCAUCUAAAGCUAAAUAUUGGCGAGAGACCGAUAGCGAACAAGUACCGUGAGGGAAAGAUGAAAAGAACUUUGGAAAGAGAGUUAAACAGUACGUGAAAUUGCUGAAAGGGAAACGCUUGAAGUCAGUCGCAUUGGCCAGGGAUCAACCUUGCUUUUUUGCUUGGCUUACUUUCUGGUUGAUGGGUCAGCAUCAAUUUUGACUGGUAGAAAAAGUUCAAGGGAAUGUGGCAUCUUCGGAUGUGUUAUAGCCUUUGUUCACAUAUAUCAGUUGGGAUUGAGGAACUCAGCACGCCGCAAGGCCGGGUUUUUAACCACGUACGUGCUUAGGAUGCUGGCAUAAUGGCUUUAAUCGACCCGUCUUGAAACACGGACCAAGGAGUCUAACAUGCCUGCGAGUGUUUGGGUGAAAAACCCGAGCGCGUAAUGAAAGUGAAAGUUGAGAUCCCUGUCAUGGGGAGCAUUGACGCCCGGAUCUGACCUUUUGUGACGAUUCUGCGGUAGAGCAUGUAUGUUGGGACCCGAAAGAGGGUGAACYAUGCCCGAAWAGGGUAGUUCC
rnacentral:rRNA from 1 species